rnacentral:rRNA from 1 species
CAUUACAGAGUUAUCCAACUCCCAAACCCAUGUGAACUUAUCUCUUUGUUGCCUCGGCGCAAGCUACCCGGGACCUCGCGCCCCGGGGGGCCCGCCGGCGGACAAACCAAACUCUGUUAUCUUCGUUGAUUAUCUGAGUGUCUUAUUUAAUAAGUCAAAACUUUCAACAACGGAUCUCUUGGUUCUGGCAUCGAUGAAGAACGCAGCGAAAUGCGAUAAGUAAUGUGAAUUGCAGAAUUCAGUGAAUCAUCGAAUCUUUGAACGCACAUUGCGCCCAUUAGUAUUCUAGUGGGCAUGCCUGUUCGAGCGUCAUUUCAACCCCUAAGCACAGCUUAUUGUUGGGACUCUACGGCUUCGUAGUUCCCCAAAGACAUUGGCGGAGUGGCAGCAGUCCUCUGAGCGUAGUAAUUCUUUAUCUCGCUUUUGUUAGGCGCUGCCCCCCCGGCCGUAAAACCCCCAAUUUUUUCUGGUUGACCUCGGAUCAGGUAGGAAUACCCGCUGAACUUAAGCAUAUCAAUAAGCGGAGGA